AUUGAACGCUGGCGGCAGGCCUAACACAUGCAAGUCGAACGAGUGGCGGACGGGUGAGUAAUGUCUGGGAAACUGCCUGAUGGAGGGGGAUAACUACUGGAAACGGUAGCUAAUACCGCAUACCAUCAGAUUUGCCCAGAUGGGAUUUGCUAGUUGGUGGGGUAACGGCUCACCAAGGCGACGAUCCCUAGCUGGUCUGAGAGGAUGACCAGCCCAACUGGAACUCGGACACGGUCCAUAUUCCUACGGGGGGGCGCAGUGGGGAAUGUGGCAAAAUGGGCGCAAGCCUGAGGCAGCCAUGCCGCGUGUAUGACGAAGGCCUUCGGGUUGUAAAGUACUUUCGGCGGGGAGGCGUUACCCGCAGAAGAAGCACCGGCUAACUCCGUGCCAGCAGCCGCGGUAAUAC
rnacentral:rRNA from 1 species